rnacentral:rRNA from 1 species
UGUCCUACGGGAGGCAGCAGUGAGGAAUAUUGGUCAAUGGGCGGGAGCCUGAACCAGCCAAGUCGCGUGAAGGAAGAAGGUACUUAGUAUUGUAAACUUCUUUUGUCGGGGAGCAAGACCCGCCUCGUGCAGGCGGAGCGAGAGUACCCGAAGAAAAAGCAUCGGCUAACUCCGUGCCAACAGCCGCGGUAAUACGGAGGAUGCGAGCGUUAUCCGGAUUUAUUGGGUUUAAAGGGUGCGCAGGCGGACCAUCAAGUCAGCGGUAAAAUCGUGGGGCCCAACCCCAUCCCGCUGUUGAAACUGGC